rnacentral:rRNA from 1 species
CUUUGGGGAGCUGUAAGUAAGCUUUGAUCCAGAGAUUUCCGAAUGGGGAAACCCAGCAUGAGUUAUGUCAUGUUAUCGAUAUGUGAAUACAUAGCAUAUCAGAAGGCACACCCGGAGAACUGAAACAUCUUAGUACCCGGAGGAAGAGAAAGAAAAUUCGAUUCCCUUAGUAGCGGCGAGCGAAACGGGAAGAGCCCAAACCAACAAGCUUGCUUGUUGGGGUUGUAGGACACUCUAUACGGAGUUACAAAGGACGACAUUAGACGAAUCAUCUGGAAAGAUGAAUCAAAGAAGGUAAUAAUCCUGUAGUCGAAAAUGUUGUCUCUCUUGAGUGGAUCCUGAGUACGACGGAGCACGUGAAAUUCCGUCGGAAUCUGGGAGGACCAUCUCCUAAGGCUAAAUACUCUCUAGUGACCGAUAGUGAACCAGUACCGUGAGGGAAAGGUGAAAAGCACCCCGGAAGGGGAGUGAAAUAGAACCUGAAACCGUGUGCUUACAAGUAGUCAGAGCCCGUUAAUGGGUGAUGGCGUGCCUUUUGUAGAAUGAACCGGCGAGUUACGAUUUGAUGCAAGGUUAAGCAGUAAAUGUGGAGCCGUAGCGAAAGCGAGUCUGAAUAGGGCGUUUAGUAUUUGGUCGUAGACCCGAAACCAGGUGAUCUACCCUUGGUCAGGUUGAAGUUCAGGUAACACUGAAUGGAGGACCGAACCGACUUACGUUGAAAAGUGAGCGGAUGAACUGAGGGUAGCGGAGAAAUUCCAAUCGAACCUGGAGAUAGCUGGUUCUCUCCGAAAUAGCUUUAGGGCUAGCCUCAAGUGAUGAUUAUUGGAGGUAGAGCACUGUUUGGACGAGGGGCCCCUCUCGGGUUACCGAAUUCAGACAAACUCCGAAUGCCAAUUAAUUUAACUUGGGAGUCAGAACAUGGGUGAUAAGGUCCGUGUUCGAAAGGGAAACAGCCCAGACCACCAGCUAAGGUCCCAAAAUAUAUGUUAAGUGGAAAAGGAUGUGGCGUUGCCCAGACAACUAGGAUGUUGGCUUAGAAGCAGCCAUCAUUUAAAGAGUGCGUAAUAGCUCACUAGUCGAGUGACACUGCGCCGAAAAUGUACCGGGGCUAAACAUAUUACCGAAGCUGUGGAUUGUCCUUUGGACAAUGGUAGGAGAGCGUUCUAAGGGCGUUGAAGCAUGAUCGUAAGGACAUGUGGAGCGCUUAGAAGUGAGAAUGCCGGUGUGAGUAGCGAAAGACGGGUGAGAAUCCCGUCCACCGAUUGACUAAGGUUUCCAGAGGAAGGCUCGUCCGCUCUGGGUUAGUCGGGUCCUAAGCUGAGGCCGACAGGCGUAGGCGAUGGAUAACAGGUUGAUAUUCCUGUACCACCUAUAAUCGUUUUAAUCGAUGGGGGGACGCAGUAGGAUAGGCGAAGCGUGCGAUUGGAUUGCACGUCUAAGCAGUAAGGCUGAGUAUUAGGCAAAUCCGGUACUCGUUAAGGCUGAGCUGUGAUGGGGAGAAGACAUUGUGUCUUCGAGUCGUUGAUUUCACACUGCCGAGAAAAGCCUCUAGAUAGAAAAUAGGUGCCCGUACCGCAAACCGACACAGGUAGUCAAGAUGAGAAUUCUAAGGUGAGCGAGCGAACUCUCGUUAAGGAACUCGGCAAAAUGACCCCGUAACUUCGGGAGAAGGGGUGCUCUUUAGGGUUAACGCCCAGAAGAGCCGCAGUGAAUAGGCCCAAGCGACUGUUUAUCAAAAACACAGGUCUCUGCUAAACCGUAAGGUGAUGUAUAGGGGCUGACGCCUGCCCGGUGCUGGAAGGUUAAGAGGAGUGGUUAGCUUCUGCGAAGCUACGAAUCGAAGCCCCAGUAAACGGCGGCCGUAACUAUAACGGUCCUAAGGUAGCGAAAUUCCUUGUCGGGUAAGUUCCGACCCGCACGAAAGGCGUAACGAUUUGGGCACUGUCUCAACGAGAGACUCGGUGAAAUCAUAGUACCUGUGAAGAUGCAGGUUACCCGCGACAGGACGGAAAGACCCCGUGGAGCUUUACUGUAGCCUGAUAUUGAAAUUCGGCACAGCUUGUACAGGAUAGGUAGGAGCCUUUGAAACGUGAGCGCUAGCUUACGUGGAGGCGCUGGUGGGAUACUACCCUAGCUGUGUUGGCUUUCUAACCCGCACCACUUAUCGUGGUGGGAGACAGUGUCAGGCGGGCAGUUUGACUGGGGCGGUCGCCUCCUAAAAGGUAACGGAGGCGCUCAAAGGUUCCCUCAGAAUGGUUGGAAAUCAUUCAUAGAGUGUAAAGGCAUAAGGGAGCUUGACUGCGAGACCUACAAGUCGAGCAGGGUCGAAAGACGGACUUAGUGAUCCGGUGGUUCCGCAUGGAAGGGCCAUCGCUCAACGGAUAAAAGCUACCCCGGGGAUAACAGGCUUAUCUCCCCCAAGAGUUCACAUCGACGGGGAGGUUUGGCACCUCGAUGUCGGCUCAUCGCAUCCUGGGGCUGUAGUCGGUCCCAAGGGUUGGGCUGUUCGCCCAUUAAAGCGGUACGCGAGCUGGGUUCAGAACGUCGUGAGACAGUUCGGUCCCUAUCCGUCGUGGGCGUAGGAAAUUUGAGAGGAGCUGUCCUUAGUACGAGAGGACCGGGAUGGACAUACCUCUGGUGUACCAGUUGUCGUGCCAACGGCAUAGCUGGGUAGCUAUGUGUGGACGGGAUAAGUGCUGAAAGCAUCUAAGCAUGAAGCCCCCCUCAAGAUGAGAUUUCCCAACUUCGGUUAUAAGAUCCCUCAAAGAUGAUGAGGUUAAUAGGUUCGAGGUGGAAGCAUGGUGACAUGUGGAGCUGACGAAUACUAAUCGAUCGAAGACUUAAUCAA